CGAGAUGAGAUUUCCCAACUUCGGUUAUAAGAUCCCUCAAAGAUGAUGAGGUGAAUAGGUUCGAGGUGGAAGCGUAGCGAUACGUGGAGCUGACGAAUACUAAUCGAUCGAAGACUUAAUCAAU
rnacentral:rRNA from 1 species